rnacentral:rRNA from 1 species
UACAGAGGGGGCAAGCGUUGUUCGGAAUUACUGGGCGUAAAGGGCGCGUAGGCGGCCUGUUAAGUCGAACGUGAGAUCCCCGGGCUCAACCCGGGAACUGCGUCCGAUACUGGCAGGCUUGAAUCCGGGAGAGGGAUGCGGAAUUCCAGGUGUAGCGGUGAAAUGCGUAGAUAUCUGGAGGAACACCGGUGGCGAAGGCGGCAUCCUGGACCGGCAUUGACGCUGAGGCGCGAAAGCCAGGGGAGCAAACGGG